rnacentral:rRNA from 1 species
UACGGGGGGGGCAAGCGUUGUUCGGAAUUACUGGGCGUAAAGGCUCGUAGGCGGCCAACUAAGUCAGACGUGAAAUCCCUCGGCUUAACCGGGGAACUGCGUCUGAUACUGGAUGGCUUGAGGUUGGGAGAGGGAUGCGGAAUUCCAGGUGUAGCGGUGAAAUGCGUAGAUAUCUGGAGGAACACCGGUGGCGAAGGCGGCAUCCUGGACCGACACUGACGCUGAGGAGCGAAAGCCAGGGGAGCAAACGGG